rnacentral:rRNA from 1 species
GAUGAACGCUGGCGGCGUGCCUAAUACAUGCAAGUCGAGCGAACAGACGAGGAGCUUGCUCCUCUGACGUUAGCGGCGGACGGGUGAGUAACACGUGGAUAACCUACCUAUAAGACUGGGAUAACUUCGGGAAACCGGAGCUAAUACCGGAUAAUAUAUUGAACCGCAUGGUUCAAUAGUGAAAGACGGUUUUGCUGUCACUUAUAGAUGGAUCCGCGCCGCAUUAGCUAGUUGGUAAGGUAACGGCUUACCAAGGCAACGAUGCGUAGCCGACCUGAGAGGGUGAUCGGCCACACUGGAACUGAGACACGGUCCAGACUCCUACGGGAGGCAGCAGUAGGGAAUCUUCCGCAAUGGGCGAAAGCUUGACGGAGCAACGCCGCGUGAGUGAUGAAGGUCUUCGGAUCGUAAAACUCUGUUAUUAGGGAAGAACAAAUGUGUAAGUAACUAUGCACGUCUUGACGGUACCGAAUCAGAAAGCCACGGCUAACUACGUG